UACGAAGGGGGCUAGCGUUGCUCGGAAUUACUGGGCGUAAAGCGCGCGCAGGCGGUUCUUUAAGUCUGAUGUGAAAGCCCACGGCUCAACCGUGGAGGGUCAUUGGAAACUGGAGAACUUGAGUACAGAAGAGGAAAGCGGAAUUCCACGUGUAGCGGUGAAAUGCGUAGAGAUGUGGAGGAACACCAGUGGCGAAGGCGGCUUUCUGGUCUGUAACUGACGCUGAGGCGCGAAAGCGUGGGGAGCAAACAGG
rnacentral:rRNA from 1 species